rnacentral:rRNA from 1 species
AUGCUUCGAGAUGUUAGAGCUCAAAAGGUGUUGGAAGCACUUGAAAUGGGUGAGAUUGAAAGUGGAAGUGGGCUAAAUCAAGUUCCUUCGUGGGAGGAUAUUUAUGAGCCUGAUCAAAGAUCACGUCGGUAUUAUGAAGUACAAACAAAUGAUGAUCGUUAUAGAAGAGAAGUAUAUCUUGGUGUCAUUGAUAAAACCAUUCAAGAGCUUGACAAUCGGUUUGAUGACGUUAAUACGGAGUUGCUUAUUUGUAUGUCGGCUUUGAAUCCCCUCAAUUCAUUUGCUUCUUAUGAUGCACUCAAGGUAAUGAGACUUGCUGAAUUCUAUCCCAUGGACAUUUCAAGUACAGAUUUGAUAAGGCUAGAAUUUCAACUUACUAAUUUUAUUGAUGAUAUGAGACAAGAUGAUAGGUUUAGAAAUGCAAAUAAUAUUGGUGAGCUCUCUAUUAUGCUUGUUGCAACAAACAAGCAUGUUCUUUAUGAUUUGGUCUACUUACUCAUCAAAUUGAUAUUGAUUUUACCGGUGGCGACGGUGAGUGCUGAAAGAGUGUUUUCAGCAAUGAAUCUAGUGAAAAAUAAGUUGAGGACUACUAUGAAUCAUGAUCGCUUGAAUGAUUGCUUGGUGACAUUUAUUGAACGGGGUGUGUUCAUGGAAGUAAGCAAAGAUAACAUAGUUGAUGCUUUCAUGGCAAUGCAAAAACGUAGAGUUACCUAG